CAUUUCAAGCUGAACAGGUAACCUCUAGGUUUAAAUUCUCUAAUGUUGCUUCUCAGGUUGCUGAAAAUCUUGAGAAAAUUUUUGUUUUGGUUGGUACAAUUGUUGGUGUAGAGUCUGUCACACCUCUUUUUUACCUACACCCCGCAAGGGCGUAAAAGCAUUUUUUCAAAUAAAGGACAAUCAAAAUAGAAUUUAUUAUUAAAAUUUAGAGUCGUCACUUGGGAGAUUUAUGGUGUCCCAUGUCACGGGUUGAAUCCCAAAUCAAGGAAAUUAUUGACUCUGUUUAACAGUCCGUAAACCAGAAAUCUGAGUAAGGAAUUCUGUUAACCCGGGAGAAGGUGUUAACUCUAUUUGGCUUAUUUAUCUAAUUUUGAUACAUGUAUUAGUGUAUGUGCUUUUUAAAUUUGAACAUCUUUUUUUAUUAGUAUUUUUUAAAGAGAAUUUUAACGUCGUAAAAAUACGUCUCGAACCACGUCUCAUAAAUGCACCCGUGAUUUUUGACACAUUUCAAUUUCUUGAAAUUUAGAUUUGGGUCACAUAAAUGUGCACCCAAAUUUAUGAAAGUAAUAUUAUUAAAUGUCGGGCCUAAAGUAACCACCAUAUUAUUAAAUUUGCGGGAAGCCAUGAAAUUCAUUAAAUGGCACGUCCCGAGGUCUACAUAUUUUUUUAUAGAAAAACAAUUAAGAGGGCCAUGCAUUUGUGAUUUUGUUUGGCGCGGCGCACCUCAAUUUUAUUUAAAGAUAUCCUAAAACAAACUAUUAUUUUCUAUCGAAUUUUUCUCUAAAAGUGUCUAAUUAAUUAGUAUUGUUUA
rnacentral:lncRNA from 1 species